GACCAGAACAGCAUGGUCUCUGUGUCACCACUUCAUGAUUCCAGGUUAGUAACCCCUACUGGAAGGAAGAGGAGAGGGACCCAGAGGCCAGAGAGUAGAGUGGGAGACGCAAUGGACCAGUUCUUCCAGCUGAAAAUCAAAUUCUAUUUUAUAGAUGCUUGGUGACCUGUGGCAGGGAGUGGAUGAGAAGGGACAGAAUAAGCCAGGGUGACAAAAUGUUCUUUCAUUGCUUAGAAUGGAGAAAAAUUUAUUGCCACAACCCCAUUGUGAGGAAAAGGCCGGGUCCCCAAAGCCUCCUCCACCUGCUAUAGGCUAACUGGGAUCUCCCAGUCCUGUCUCUGUGAGUGAGUGUGUUGCUGUGAGUGCACCAGUUCCUUUCAUCUUUCUCUCCUAGUUACUUGUCCCUCUCCACCCAGUCUCUGGAUCCCUAGCUCAGAACAUCCUGGGUCUGGAGAGAGUACUAGAAUACUCACCUCCUGUCACCACAAACAGAAAGGAAUUUAGCUCUGCCUCUGGCCAGGCAUUCUUAAUCCCCACAGGACAGAGAGAGGGAAGGCAGUUCUCCCCCAGCCAAGGAGCAGGAUAUCUUGAGCCUGAAGGAGCUGUCACUGCUCUGGAAAAGUGGGGCCUGUGAUUUAUUUCCAGUGCAGUCUACUCAGUGUUGGUUCAGUUCUCCCCCUGCUCCAACUUUAAUGUAGGCAUUACGGUUUUCUCAAGUUUUCAUAAAGAAUUAUAUAAACAAUACUUUAAGACAAUUCACUGGUUAUCUUCCCUAGCCCUCACCCAGAUGAAGGUCCUGACCCUCUCACACACAUAUUCUGAUCCUUCUCACAAAAUGUGGAAGUACCUUUUCUCUUUUGUCUGUAAACCAGUCUGUAGGCAUGAGAUUCUUCCAUCAGACUUUAAUGUUGUCAGAGUCUGAGAGACAUCUGAUUCAUUUCCUUAUCCUCAAUGCUCUCUAGGCACAUAGUAGGGAACUCAGUGUUUAUUGAACAAAUAGAAAAAGAUUGGAAAAAAGCCAUUAUCACCAGUAAGGUACUAAUUGCAGCUAUUGACAAAUGUGAAACGGGAAGCGGCAAGACACACCAUCAAAAGUCAACUGAACACACAAGAACAAGAACUAGACACACAAGAAUGUGGCUUCCAGGGAAUUGCGGAAGGAUUAGAGGUAUGUCCUUCCCCUCCACAAUGCUCAUCACCACAUCUCUAAGAUGUAGGUCUACCCCCACUACCUCCGAAUCCCUGGAGAACACCGCCAUUCGAGCACCAUAGUUUUAAUCAGUACCAGUUUGAUGAGUCUCACUCUAUUGCCCGGGACUGCAAAUUAGUCAACCUCUAUCGAAAGGAAUUUGGAGAUACCUCAAAGAGCUACAAAUAGAACUACCAUUUGAUUCAGCAAUAGCACUAUUAGGCA